AGCGAACGCUGGCGGCAGGCUUAACACAUGCAAGUCGAGCGGGCAUCCUUGUGGUGUCAGCGGCAGACGGGUGAGUAACGCGUGGGAACGUGCCCUUCGGUUCGGAAUAACUCUGGGAAACUUGAGCUAAUACCGGAUACGUGCGAGAGCAGAAAGGUUUAUCUGCCGAAGGAUAGGGCCGCGUCUGAUUAGCUAGUUGGUGAGGUUAUGGCUCACCAAGGCGUCGAUCAGUAGCUGGUCUGAGAGGAUGACCAGCCACACUGGGACUGAGACACGGCCCAGACUCCUACGGGAGGCAGGAGUGCGGAAUAUUGGACAAUGGGGGCAACCCUGAUCCAGCCAUGGCGCGUAAGUGAUGACGGCCUUAGGGUUGUAAAGCUCUUUUCUCCGGGACGAUAAUGACGGUACCGGAGGAAUAAGCCCCGGCUAACUUCGUG
rnacentral:rRNA from 1 species